GCCGGGGUGGCGGAACUGGUCAGACGCGCCCGACUUAAAAUCGGGUGCCUUCGGGCAUGCGGGUUCGAGUCCCGCCCCCGGCA
rnacentral:tRNA from 2 species